rnacentral:rRNA from 1 species
AGAGUUUGAUCCUGGCUCAGGAUGAACGCUAGCUACAGGCUUAACACAUGCAAGUCGAGGGGAAACGAUAUUGGAAGCUUGCUUCCGAUAGGCGUCGACCGGCGCACGGGUGAGUAACGCGUAUCCAACCUGGCCCACCACUUGGGGAUAACCUUGCGAAAGUAAGACUAAUACCCAAUGAUAUCUCUAGGAAGACAUCUGAAAGAGAUUAAAAGAUUUAUCGGUGAUGGAUGGGGAUGCGUCUGAUUAGCUUGUUGGCGGGGUAACGGCCCACCAAGGCGACGAUCAGUAGGGGUUCUGAGAGGAAGGUCCCCCACAUUGGAACUGAGACACGGUCCAAACUCCUACGGGAGGCAGCA